CGGGUAUCCAAGCUUGCUUGCC
rnacentral:siRNA from 1 species